rnacentral:rRNA from 1 species
CCUACGGGGGGCUGCAGUGGGGAAUCUUGCGCAAUGGGCGAAAGCCUGACGCAGCGACGCCGCGUGUGGGAUGACGGCCUUCGGGUUGUAAACCACUGUCGGGAGGGACGAAGUUCUGACGGUACCUCCAAAGGAAGCACCGGCUAACUCUGUGCCAGCAGCCGCGGUAAUACAGAGGGUGCAAGCGGUGUCCGGAAUCACUGGGCGUAAAGGGCGCGUAGGCGGCCUGGUAAGUCGGAGGUGAAACGCGGCGGCUCAACCGGAGCACUGCAGUCGAGACUGCCUGGCUUGAGCACGGUAGAGGCUGGUGGAAUUCCCGGUGUAGCGGUGGAAUGCGUAGAGAUCGGGAAGAACAGCGGUGGCGAAGGCGGCCAGCUGGGCAGUUGCUGACGCUGAGGCGCGACAGCGUGGGGAGCAAACAGGAUUAGAUACCCUAGUAGUC